rnacentral:rRNA from 1 species
CAGCCGCCACGGGAAUACGUAGGGUGCGAGCGUUAAUCGGAAUUACUGGGCGUAAAGCGUGCGCAGGCGGUUUUGUAAGACAGGCGUGAAAUCCCCGGGCUCAACCGGGGAGGGUCAUUGGAAACUGGGAAACUUGAGUGCAGAAGAGGAGAGUGGAAUUCCACGUGUAGCGGUGAAAUGCGUAGAUAUAUGGAGGAACACCGGUGGCGAAAGCGGCUCUCUGGCUUGUAACUGACGCUGAGGCUCGAAAGCGUGGGGAGCAAACAGGAUUAGAUACCCCCGUAGUCCCUGUCUCUUAUAC